rnacentral:ribozyme from 13 species
UUCUUUUCUUUCCUCUCCUUCUGCUUCUCUUCUCUCUCCUUCUUCUUUUCUCUCCUCUUCAGCCCUUAAAGAACGAGAAGAAGGGUGCACCUCCUCUUCUGAGUAAUUCAAAGAAUAAUUCAAAUUCUGAGAGUCAGUCUGCAACUCAAUCCACUGCCCCAUUUGAGAAUACUCAUGUUCCACCACAAAAGAAAGAUCAAAAG